GAGCUGCGGUGAGUGCGCGCCGGAGCGAGCGGGGCCGGCGGAGCGGGGACGGCGCUUUGGGACUAGCGGACGGUGUAGGUGGCGGCGGUCGCUGGGGCUCGGUUCCUGCCCCGCUUAGGGCUGGCGGCGGGCGGGCCCGGGCGGUAGAAGCGGAGCCCAGGGCCUGAAUUGCGGGAGCUGGAGAGGAGAGGGGCUGCCGCCGCUCCUUCCCCAUCAUUGGUGCGCCGCCAGCUGCGUCCCGGGAAACGACAGUGUGAAAACACCGGGAGUUAAACCAUAAACAUGAAGAAAUUAAAGCUUAAAGAACUGGAAAGCUGUCUUCAACAAGUUGAUACUUUUGAAAGUCCAAAACUACUACUUGAACAGUAUCCAACAAGACCUCAUAUUGCAGCAUGUAUGCUUUAUACAAUUCACAAUACUUUUGAUGAUAUUGAAAACAAAACAAUUGCAGAUUUAGGAUGUGGUUGUGGCAUGCUCAGCAUUGGAAGUGCAAUGUUAGGAGCAGGAUUCUGUGUGGGUCUUGACAUAGAUGCAGAUGCACUGGAAAUAUUUAAUAGCAAUAUUGAAGAAUUAGAGCUCACGAAUGUCAACAUGGUUCAGUGUGACAUCUGUUCUUUAUCUGACAGCAUGUCAGAUACUUUUGAUACAGUUAUUAUGAACCCUCCCUUUGGUACCAAGCAUAACAAAGGAAUUGAUAUGAUUUUUCUGAAAACUGCUCUACAAAUGGCAAAAACAGCUGUAUAUUCCCUUCACAAAACUUCAACACGGCAGCACAUUCAAAAGAAAGCAGCAGAAUGGGAAGUGAAGAUGGAAGUCUUAGCAGACUUUAUUUUUUUUGCUACCUGGCUAGAAUACCAGAUGGCAUUUAAUAAAGCUCUAAGGAAUACAUAUUCUGUGCAGAAUUAGAUUUGUUCCUGGACUAGAUUUUGUCUUCAAGCAGAAGUUACCUCUCUUCCUGCCUCAAAGGGAGCAUUGCUGAAAAAGUGAAGCACAGAACUUAGGUUUGACUUACCAGCAUCAUACAAGUUCCAUAAGAAGAAAUCAGUUGACAUUGAAGUGGAUUUUAUUAGAUUUUCUGCCAAAAAAGUCCUGAACUGAGGCAUGUCUUUAAAACCUAUUGAAAAUGGAACAAUAAAACCACUAUUUUUUAAAAUUC